AUCUAAGUAGUAUAAUAAAAAUGUAACAUUGAAGCUGUUAAGAUAGGUUUACCCUCUUGGAUA
rnacentral:tRNA from 1 species